rnacentral:rRNA from 1 species
UACGUAGGGUGCGAGCGUUAAUCGGAAUUACUGGGCGUAAAGCGUGCGCAGGCGGUUUUGUAAGCCAGAUGUGAAAUCCCCGGGCUUAACCUGGGAAUGGCAUUUGGGACUGCAAGGCUGGAGUGCGGCAGAGGAGACUGGAAUUCCGCGUGUAGCAGUGAAAUGCGUAGAGAUGCGGAGGAACACCGAUGGCGAAGGCAGCCCCCUGGGCUAGCACUGACGCUCAGGCACGAAAGCGUGGGGAGCAAACAGG